GCGCAGCAGUCGCGAAACUUCACACUGUGCGAAAGCACGAUGAGGGAAUCCCAAGUGCUUGCACGUAAGUGUAAGCUGUCUCUCUGUCUAAAACGCAGAGAGAGUAAGGGCUGGGUAAGACGGGUGCCAGCCGCCGCGGUAAUACCUGCAGCUCAAGUGGUGACCGUUAUUAUUGGGCCUAAAACGUCCGUAGCCGGUUUAAUAAAUGCCUGGGUAAAUUGUGUAGCUUAACUAUACGAAUUCCGGGUAGACUGUUAAACUUGAGACCGGGAGAAGUUAGAGGUACUCCUGGGGUAGAGGUGAAAUUCUGUAAUCCUAGGGGGACCACCAGUGGCGAAGGCGUCUAACUAGAACGGGUCUGACGGUGAGGGACGAAGCCCUGGGGCGCAAACGGGAUUAGAUACCCGUGUAGU
rnacentral:rRNA from 1 species